GCCACGUUAUUUCUCUUCCCUCCUCCUCUCAAAACAGGACGGGAUGUUGGGUGCGGGGCCUGAGUGCCAAAAACAAAACCAGAAAACACUGCCUGGUAGAGGAGGUAUUUUCUGGGCUGCAGGGGUGAAGAUUUGUGAUCCCAAAGAAAAAAGCUGGGGUGGCGUGACUGUGGGCAACAAAGGAGGAGAAGGACCAGGAGGAAGCCUUUCCUGAUUCCUGUAGAUCCAGCUUGACUGCCAUUUCAGACUCCAACCCCAAGGCGCUUUCACUAGCCUGAGAGAGACCCCUGAGACACUCGUACAGUUGUGACAUGGGCCGUGCUCAGAGUUUGGGCUUGAUGGCAACUGGACUGGCGAUCGGGGCUGGCAGCUGGUACUGCAUAUACCAACUAACCUGUGGUGGAGAGCAGAACAAGAAGAAACCAGCUGAUUCGAAAGAUGUUAAUCCUGCCUACAAAAAGUUUAGAAAAUAUAGAAAACUAUAAGGAAGAAAAUAAAAAUAAGCCACUAAUAACUUCCAUUCCUUGUCUUUCUCCCUGUGUAAGAAAUGUGGAUGUGUGUGUUUAACAUUAUUGCAAUUACCCUUUUACACCCUCCCAGCAUUAUUUUUUUUCAGGUUACCUUGCAGGGUAUGCCUUUUAUUAGUUAAUGAAAAUGCUUCCUAAGCAUUCUUUUAAAGGAUUGUUUCACAGUAACAAAAUGUAGUAAUUACAAUCUUCCACUUUUGCUCGCCUUUCAUGUACCAAGUAUGAAAAUUAGUUCUUAGAUUCAGGUAUGAAAAGAAAUAUUAGAUGUUUUUACUUUCUAAAAAAAACCCCUCCAUGGGGGUGCAAGUUGUAGCGCUCCAAAAUCUUAUGACUAUUGACUAUCUACGGUUAAAAGAACAUAUGGGA